AUUGAACGCUGGCGGCAGGCCUAACACAUGCAAGUCGAGCGGAUGAAGGGAGCUUGCUCCUGGAUUCAGCGGCGGACGGGUGAGUAAUGCCUAGGAAUCUGCCUGGUAGUGGGGGAUAACGUCCGGAAACGGGCGCUAAUACCGCAUACGUCCUGAGGGAGAAAGUGGGGGAUCUUCGGACCUCACGCUAUCAGAUGAGCCUAGGUCGGAUUAGCUAGUUGGUGGGGUAAAGGCCUACCAAGGCGACGAUCCGUAACUGGUCUGAGAGGAUGAUCAGUCACAUUGGAACUGAGGCACGGUCCAGACUCCUGCGGGAGGCAGCAGUGGGGAAUAUUAGGCAAUGGGCGAGAGCCUGAUCCAGCCAUGCGGCGUGUGUGAAGAAGGUCUUCGGAUUGUAAAGCACUUUAAGUUGGGGGGAAGGGCAGUAAGUUAAUACCUUGCUGUUUUGACGUUACCAACAGAAUAAGCACCGGCUAACUUCGUG
rnacentral:rRNA from 1 species